GAUGAACGCUGGCGGCGUGCCUAAUACAUGCAAGUCGAGCGAACGGACGAGAAGCUUGCUUCUCUGAUGUUAGCGGCGGACGGGUGAGUAACACGUGGAUAACCUACCUAUAAGACUGGGAUAACUUCGGGAGACCGGAGCUAAUACCGGAUAAUAUUUUGAACCGCAUGGUUCAAAAGUGAAAGACGGUCUUGCUGUCACUUAUAGAUGGAUCCGCGCUGCAUUAGCUAGUUGGUAAGGUAACGGCUUACCAAGGCAACGAUGCAUAGCCGACCUGAGAGGGUGAUCGGCCACACUGGAACUGAGACACGGUCCAGACUCCUACGGGAGGCAGCAGUAGGGAAUCUUCCGCAAUGGGCGAAAGCCUGACGGAGCAACGCCGCGUGAGUGAUGAAGGCCUUCGGAUCGUAAAACUCUGUUAUUAGGGAAGAACAUAUGUGUAAGUAACUGUGCACAUCUUGACGGUACCUAAUCAGAAAGCCACGGCUAACUACGUGCCAGCAGCCGCGGUAAUACGUAGGUGGCAAGCGUUAUCCGGAAUUAUUGGGCGUAAAGCGCGCGUAGGCGGUUUUUUAAGUCUGAUGUGAAAGCCCACGGCUCAACCGUGGAGGGUCAUUGGAAACUGGAAAACUUGAGUGCAGAAGAGGAAAGUGGAAUUCCAUGUGUAGCGGUGAAAUGCGCAGAGAUAUGGAGGAACACCAGUGGCGAAGGCGACUUUCUGGUCUGUAACUGACGCUGAUGUGCGAAAGCGUGGGGAUCAAACAGGAUUAGAUACCCUGGUAGUCCACGCCGUAAACGAUGAGUGCUAAGUGUUAGGGGGUUUCCGCCCCUUAGUGCUGCAGCUAACGCAUUAAGCACUCCGCCUGGGGAGUACGACCGCAAGGUUGAAACUCAAAGGAAUUGACGGGGACCCGCACAAGCGGUGGAGCAUGUGGUUUAAUUCGAAGCAACGCGAAGAACCUUACCAAAUCUUGACAUCCUUUGACAACUCUAGAGAUAGAGCCUUCCCCUUCGGGGGACAAAGUGACAGGUGGUGCAUGGUUGUCGUCAGCUCGUGUCGUGAGAUGUUGGGUUAAGUCCCGCAACGAGCGCAACCCUUAAGCUUAGUUGCCAUCAUUAAGUUGGGCACUCUAAGUUGACUGCCGGUGACAAACCGGAGGAAGGUGGGGAUGACGUCAAAUCAUCAUGCCCCUUAUGAUUUGGGCUACACACGUGCUACAAUGGACAAUACAAAGGGCAGCGAAACCGCGAGGUCAAGCAAAUCCCAUAAAGUUGUUCUCAGUUCGGAUUGUAGUCUGCAACUCGACUACAUGAAGCUGGAAUCGCUAGUAAUCGUAGAUCAGCAUGCUACGGUGAAUACGUUCCCGGGUCU
rnacentral:rRNA from 1 species